rnacentral:rRNA from 1 species
ACCUGCCCAGUGCGAAAUAUUAAUGUAAACGGCCGCCCUAGCGUGAGGGUGCUAAGGUAGCGAAAUUCCUUGCCUUUUGAUUGUAGGCCUGCAUGAAUGGUUUAACGAGGGUUUAGCUGUCUCUAAAUUUUUAAUUGAAAUUGUAUUGAAGGUGAAGAUACCUUCAUUUAAAAGUUAGACAAAAAGACCCCGUGCAACUUUGAAAAUUAACUUUAUUCAGGGGUAAAAGAUUUUUAGGUGGGGCGCCUAGAAAGUAAGCCUAACCUUUCUGAGUAAGAGUUUCUUUCAGGAGUUGACCCGAUUAUAUUCGAUCAUAGGAGAAGUUACGCCGGGGAUAACAGGCUAAUCCUUUAGUAGAGCUCGUAUUGGCUAAAGGGAUUGGCACCUCGAUGUUGAAUCAGGGAUGAUAGCUUCAAGGCGUAGAGGCUUUGAGAGUAGGUCUGUUCGACCUUUAAUACCCUACGA